rnacentral:rRNA from 1 species
GCCUCUCAUCAAUGUAUAUUAUGGCUCUUAUAUCAAUGAAAAAUGUAGAAAAAUUUGAUACUAUGUGUGAAUUGCAGAAUCCCUUAAACAAUCAAGUCUUUGAAUGCAAGUUGCUCCCGAAUACAUUAGGCUAAGGGCACGUCUAUGUGGGCAUCA